rnacentral:rRNA from 1 species
GACGAACGCUGUGCGGCGUGCUUAACACAUGCAAGUCGAACGGAAAGGCCCUGCUUUUGUGGGGUGCUCGAGUGGCGAACGGGUGAGUAACACGUGAGUAACCUGCCCUUGACUUUGGGAUAACUUCAGGAAACUGGGGCUAAUACCGGAUAGGAGCUCCUGCUGCAUGGUGGGGGUUGGAAAGUUUCGGUGGUUGGGGAUGGACUCGCGGCUUAUCAGCUUGUUGGUGGGGUAGUGGCUUACCAAGGCUUUGACGGGUAGCCGGCCCGAGAGGGUGACCGGCCACAUUGGGACUGAGAUACGGCCCAGACUCCUACGGGAGGCAGCAGUGGGGAAUAUUGCACAAUGGGCGGAAGCCUGAUGCAGCAACGCCGCGUGCGGGAUGACGGCCUUCGGGUUGUAAACCGCUUUCGCCUGUGACGAAGCGUGAGUGACGGUAAUGGGUAAAGAAGCACCGGCUAACUACGUGCCAGCAGCCGCGGUGAUACGUAGGGUGCGAGCGUUGUCCGGAUUUAUUGGGCGUAAAGGGUUCGUAGGUGGUUGAUCGCGUCGGAAGUGUAAUCUUGGGGCUUAACCCUGAGCGUGCUUUCGAUACGGGUUGACUUGAGGAAGGUAGGGGAGAAUGGAAUUCCUGGUGGAGCGGUGGAAUGCGCAGAUAUCAGGAGGAACACCAGUGGCGAAGGCGGUUCUCUGGGCCUUUCCUGACGCUGAGGAGCGAAAGCGUGGGGAGCGAACAGGCUUAGAUACCCUGGUAGUCCACGCUGUAAACGGUGGGUACUAGGUGUGGGGUCCAUUCCACGGGUUCCGUGCCGUAGCUAACGCUUUAAGUACCCCGCCUGGGGAGUACGGCCGCAAGGCUAAAACUCAAAGGAAUUGACGGGGCCCCGCACAAGCGGCGGAGCAUGCGGAUUAAUUCGAUGCAACGCGUAGAACCUUACCUGGGUUUGACAUGGAUCGGGAGUGCUCAGAGAUGGGUGUGCCUCUUUUGGGGUCGGUUCACAGGUGGUGCAUGGCUGUCGUCAGCUCGUGUCGUGAGAUGUUGGGUUAAGUCCCGCAACGAGCGCAACCCUUGUUCACUGUUGCCAGCACGUUAUGGUGGGGACUCAGUGGAGACCGCCGGGGUCAACUCGGAGGAAGGUGGGGAUGACGUCAAGUCAUCAUGCCCCUUAUGUCCAGGGCUUCACGCAUGCUACAAUGGCUGGUACAGAGAGUGGCGAGCCUGUGAGGGUGAGCGAAUCUCGGAAAGCCGGUCUCAGUUCGGAUUGGGGUCUGCAACUCGACCUCAUGAAGUCGGAGUCGCUAGUAAUCGCAGAUCAGCAACGCUGCGGUGAAUACGUUCCCGGGGCU